CUUCUUUUGCAACUGCAUUCCAGCCACGCCUGACUUCUUUCUCAGGCCUGACGGCGAGUGCCCCUCCUAGCAGGACUUUGCCGAUAGACAAAGAAACCCAGCCCUGGAUCUGCAGGCCAUAGUCCAGAAGAUACUUAGGUUUCAGAUGAUGAGAGAGGACCGUGUGGGGCUCUGCAGGGCAGUGGGCGGGAGGGGCACGAGAUGUUUCCGGCCCACGGUUCCUCACUGGACUCUGGCAAAGCACCUCGCUGCACUUACCUUCUCUGUCCUCAUUCGGUCUGGCUGAGAAUCCUAAGAGCAAUAACGUUUGCUUGUCACGGUUUUUCAAAGCCCAUUUCACUUCCAUUGCCUCGUGUGUGGAUGAGAACAUUCAAAGCUCCUGGAGAUUUAGAGAAGUUAAGUGUCUUGCCCAAGAUGGUGGUGAUAGUCACUGCUUACUGAGCCAGGUGCUUCCCCAGCGGCAUCUCAGUGCUGUACUCUUCACUCACCUGUACCGGCAGUGUCUUGCUCGAUUCUUUGUUGGAGACAUCGAGAACCUGGACCACACACCGGGAGGGAACCCCACUCUCCAGUAACAUAUGCACCCAGUGUCACUACUGUUUUCUGCUUCCACUUUAAGACUCAUGCUAGAUGUCCCUUUCUUACCACCUCCCCCCCUCCUCCCCGCCACCUCAUCCCCAGGAUGACCCUACCCCAGGCUUAGCUCUGGGCACGUAUGCUUUCAUGGGGCGAUUGCCUGCUUAUUUAUCUCACUCCCGUUGUUUAUCUAUUUCCUAUGCGCCCAGUGGCUGUUUGUAUCUCUAGCACUUAGCCGGAGUGCAGCCCAGAGCUACCACUCAAGAAAUGUUUGAUGAUUGCACAGCCAGCAAUCCCUUACUCCUGCAGAGUCCUUCGCUCUUUCCAGGUCAUGUCCGUGCAUCCUCCACACAGGAACCCUGAGAACUAAGUAACGGUUCUCUCCUUGUGCCCAUUUUGAAGACACUGAGACUCAGAAUGCCGACUGACUCAUCCAACAUCACACAGCCAGGAAGGGCGAGUGCCCACAUUUAAAUUACAAAAUCCCAGUCGACGGGAUUUGGGGAAGCCUUGAAGGCCGCCUAAAAAUGAGCUCUUCUUGUUUUUAGCAAAAGAAUCUUUGUUUUUUAUUCUUUCUCUAAUGAAAUCAUACUCAAAAUCAUACUAUAGAAAGGUUGGAGGAGGACCAAGGCAAAGUAGAAAAACCGGGUCCCCAUUAGUUCGGCCUCCGCCUCCCCCCAGACAGGGAGAGAGGAAAACCGCUGAUGCAAAUAAAUGUUCCAGAACUCCUACAACUACGUCCUUUUUAUUUUUAUUAUUGUAGCUUUUUAAAAUUUAUUUUUACUUAUAGUUGACAUACCAUACUAUAUGAGUACAACGUAUAAAUCGUAUGUCAUACAUUUAUAUACCUGACAAAGCGAUCACCACAGUGAGUCUGGUCCCCAUCGGUCACCGUCCAUAGUUCCUGCAACAUUGUUGACGCUGUUCCCUAGGCUGUACUUCACGUCCCUGUGAUUUAUCUCAGCCUCUGUGUUGUCAUCUCAUGCUUCUUCAGCUGUCGUGCCCCACUGCCCCGAGGUUGUCUUCCUCAUUUGAAAUCUCCCUCUCAGCCACCACCAUGUCAAGCACUGUGCUGAAAGCUUUGGAGGAUGCCAAGUACGAUGUGUCCAGGCUCCACGAAUCCACUGUGGCCCCCGAUCGAUCCACUGUGGCCCCGAUCCCCGUCUCCUGUCUGGGAACCUUGAGAAAGUCACUUAAUCUCUCCUCAAGCCUUGGCUGCUUCAUCUGCAAAAUGGCUGCAAGGCUUGGAACGAAUCACAGUCAAUUGCCUCACACAGGUAAACACGCCGUGCAGGACCCGACAGAGCCUGAUGGCGUCUUCUACCUCGGGGCGCUCCGAAGGGCAGCACAGAAACCACGGAAAGGACCCGAAACCAAUUCUCCGGCUGACUCUCUGGCGCUGAUGACAGGUGCCACCGCGGCCGUACAGAUUCUGCUACCAGGUAGCACUGUGUAAGUUGGAAGCCUCCCAUAUUCCCUGCAGGCCUCGGAGGGAAGAAGGAAACAAAGAAGUCUCAGGAAGGAGCCUCCAGGAUCAGCUUUUCCUCUCUGCCUCUUGUAUCUGCGUCUCAAUCUGAAAGACGGCAGCUUGCUGGCAGUGGCUGGGUUCUGCCGGAGCCUCGGGGUACCAGCUUCAAAGCUGUCUAUUAUUUUUAACAAUAAUAAUAAUCCUCUGACAUGUGCCUUGUGGACCCAGUCUUUUCACGACAUGGUUUCACUGCCUUUUCAAUCCUGUGACGCGGUAAAGGAGAUCAAAUAUAUUGUAGCUGAAGGAAACUGGACUUUGGAUGGUAAACGUACGACAGAAUAUACAGAUGUCAAAUUAUAAUGUACACCUGAAACUUGCAU